UUCAAUUUGUUAAUGUAAUGAUGUAUUGUAUAUAAGUAUAUAUAAUGUACUUUGUUGUCUAAUGUGUAGACUGUAGACGCAACAAAUGAACCUACAUUCUUUCCCUGGUUUGAGAAAUUGUUGUUGUUGUACUUAAGGCAGUCUUUAUUCUGUGUUGAGUAGUGUAGAUUGCAGUCACAUUUGAGUUUAGCACAUCCUUGUCAAAAGGCAAUUACUUACCACUUUAUUUUGGUAUGCUUUUGCAGCUUUGAGAUUCUCUCUACAAAUUAAUUCAGUGUUUGUACCUUGUUAUUGGCAAAGAAAGUUUGCAUUUUCCAGAGGCCAUCCUUGGGUUUUUCUAAUGCAUCAAUCCUACAUGAAGAUAAAACAGGCAUGGCGUUUAGGCAUGAAAGAUAUGCCAAUAUUUCAUGGAUCUCGUCAGCGCUCUCAAUUAAAGAAACCAACGUGGAUCAUCAUUUUGGUUUCGUUGGUUAGCUUUUUUUGUGAUUUGUGCAUAUGUAUUCCCUUCUAAGAAUUCUGCUGUUUGUUCUUUAUUCUCCUCUGGUGGUUGCAACAAACAUUUCGAUUGGCGGAGCCCUGCUCCUGCUCGCGAAUUAACAGAUCAAGAGAUAGCAUCUUUUGUUGUAGUUAGAGAUGUUCUGAUGAAUACACCAGCAGUUGAACCAAAAAGCCCAAAAAUUGCAUCUCUAUUUUUGAGGUGCUUUACCAUUUGAGAAGCUAUGGGAUAGAAUAUUACAGGGCCAUGAAGGUAAAUUCUCCAUCUAUAUUCAUGCGUCCAAGGACAGACCAGUGCGUCUUAGCCUCGGGAGAUCCGUAGUUACGCGGUAGCCUGGGGGAAAAUUACAAUGGUUGAUGCUGAGAGAUGGCUUUUGGCUAAUGCACUCAAAGAUCUUGAAAAUUUGCACUUUGUUCUACUUUUUGAAAGUUGUAUACCAUUGCGUGAUUUUGAUUACAUUUACAACUAUCUGAUGUACACAAAUGUCAGUUUUGUAGACAACUUUUCGGAUCCUAGUGUGCAUGGACAUGGCAGGUAUAGCGAGCGUAUGGGACCUGUAAUUGAAAAGAAAGACUUUCAAAAGGGUGCACAAGUUCUUCUUUCACUCUGUUAGACACCAACGUGCCGCAUCCAUCCGCAACUUUUGUCGUUCCUUGCGUGGAUUUUCCUGUAAUGAUAACGUUCCCGGCUUGCGUUCUCGCUAGACGAUCUAGUCAACGAUAGCUCCAGGGACUUCUAGCGCUGAGAACCGACGAUCUAUCACUGAAGUUACGUUCGUUUAUACCCAGGUAUGCCUCUCUCCAUCGCCGACUGUCUGUCAACACCGGUUUCUUGUCGUUGGCUAAUCUACCUGUGAGAACUGGUGUAAAAGAGUAACCGGAUAAUCCGCCUGUGGGAACCGGUUUUGUCUUAUUUUAGCAGGUUUCUGCUCGUCUCCGAGAUAUGGCGAGCACAAGUAACAUGUCCAGUGCUCCUGGUGGCCUCGUAACUGUUGUGGAACCAUCAGUUUCCCGAUCCUUGGGGUCAACGGAUACGUUCUCUGAUGAGGAAGAAAGUCGACAAAGGUAUGGGGUGAGAAGGAACACGGGAAAGCAACUAUGGGUUGAGAAGGGGAAGUCGCCAAACUCGAAAAUCUCGUUCAGAAACAACAGAGAGCUAGAGGGUGAUGACUGCCUACUCUCAGACUCCAUGUUGGAAAGAGGUCACGUGAAGCUGGCUAUGGAGGACUGGGUCGAGCCAGAGGGUUCCUUUGUUAGAGUGACGUACGACAAAGGCAACUCGGAUCUCCCUCUCGGGUUGUAGCUGAGGUUAGAAAGAGGUCGUGUAGGUCCAGACAUAGUAAGGAUUGACAGACUGAGAGCUCUUUCGAGAUUCUAUGGGUGGUGGUGCAUGAC